rnacentral:tRNA from 1 species
GGAUUGUGGCUCAGUGGAAGAGCCCUUUUCUAGGAUGGGUGAGGCCCUGGGUUCGAUCCUCAGCACCA